UUUAAUUGAAGAGUUUGAUCAUGGCUCAGAUUGAACGCUGGCGGCAGGCUUAACACAUGCAAGUCGAGCGGAAACGAGAAGUACUUGUACUUCGGCGUCGAGCGGCGGACGGGUGAGUAAUGCUUGGGAAUAUGCCUUGAGGUGGGGGACAACAGUUGGAAACGACUGCUAAUA
rnacentral:rRNA from 1 species